CCACCCACAGGGUGCUCCCCACGCCUUCAUGUUUAGCCAGAGGAUUACCCAUUAUUUUGUUAAACAUUCCUUUUUGGUUACAAAAGACUUUUUUUUUUAACUGUAUGGAAAUAUUAAUAUUCAAAUACUGCGCCUUUUGAAUAAGUUUUAGGGCACUGAAUAAAAGGCUCUUCAACUUGGCCACUUAAAGGGGAUUGAGCCAGAUGGUAGUUUAAGAAUUCCACAGUUCUGUUCUUUUUGCCUCAUCGUAGCCCAUCAUACUCUGUUUGCUUUCAGAUUAGUCCCCUUUUACUGUUCUACUUAUUUAUUCGAUGACUGAAACUAUCACGAUUCACUGCCCAUCAUAUUUCUAACUAUUCUUUAUGUAAUUUGGAAGCAAUUUAGAAUAAAGCCCUGUCAAGGUUUUACAAAUAAGAACUAUUAAAGAGUAAAGCUUUGGAUACUUGC
rnacentral:lncRNA from 1 species